rnacentral:rRNA from 1 species
ACGGGAGGCAGCAGUGGGGAAUAUUGCACAAUGGGGGAAACCCUGAUGCAGCGAUGCCGCGUGGAGGAAGAAGGUUUUCGGAUUGUAAACUCCUGUCUUAAAGGACGAUAAUGACGGUACUUUAGGAGGAAGCUCCGGCUAACUACGUGCCAGCAGCCGCGGUAAUACGUAGGGAGCGAGCGUUGUCCGGAAUUACUGGGUGUAAAGGGAGCGUAGGCGGGAUUGCAAGUCAGAUGUGAAAACUAUGGGCUUAACCCAUAGACUGCAUUUGAAACUGUAGUUCUUGAGUGAGGUAGAGGUAAGCGGAAUUCCUGGUGUAGCGGUGAAAUGCGUAGAUAUCAGGAGGAACACCGGUGGCGAAGGCGGCUUACUGGGCUUUUACUGACGCUGAGGCUCGAAAGCGUGGGGAGCAAACAGGAUUAGAUACCCUGGUA